rnacentral:sRNA from 15 species
UAAAAUAUGAGAGAAAAAAAACGGAGGGAAAUCCGCCUGUCAGUAUCGAGUUUUUCCACAUUAUUUAACUACAAUAUGUUCUAUAGCCGGCAGGCCCCAAGGCCGCUCCACGAGCCAGGAGGAGGAGGAGGCCAGUCAACUUUUGUUGGCACCAACAACAAGGGCAGCUGGGGAGCCCAGGACAGGGCAAAGGAAUUAACUGAAACAACUGAAACGUAUCGAUUUAACUGUUGACACAUUCAAAGGCGCCCCAGGCACAGGCACACACACACAAAAUGAGGCACAGGACCCAGACCCAGGCUGAGGCUGAGGCUGAGGUGGAGGCUGAGGUGGAGGCUGAAACUGAAGCUGAAGCUCAGGCGAUAAUUACGACCUCUAAGCGGCUUGCAACGAAACCAGCAAGAACAAGGCUCCAUUUGCGAGAUACCCUAACCCAAAGGUUUCCAUUUUAUCAUCAAAUUGUCACAUUCUAUGAAUCAAAGAACAAAUGCUGGAGGAGAGAUACAAGAUAGAUCUUUAGAACAGGCAAAGUAGAGCUUUCCUAGAAAUGGGCAAAAAGACGAUGCAUAUGGCGAUAUCCUAAAGAUCCCAGCGCGACGUGUAUUUUGUUUUUGCAUUCUCGGUUUCGAGCCUAAGUCGUGGGAUCUUGUUAGCUGAAGAAUAAAUCACAGAACAAUGGGAACAGUUGUAUGCCUUUGCCACAUGUAAAUACCCCGUAAAUCAAGACAGGAUUUAAUUGCAGAAACAUUUCCUUAUCUGUUUUUGGGACCUUCUGUAAGACAUUUAUGUGCCUUCUCUAUAAGAAAGGGUAGAAAACUGGUUAUUACACUAAGCGGAUUUCAGCGUCGUUCGUCCUUGACAAUGUGGAAUGCCUCUCUACGCCAGUUUAUCCCAUUACAGUCAGGUGUUAAGGGGAAUCCAUGACUGAUGGCUUAAGCCCAGACCGAGUUCCGCAUGCCGUCGCUCCGCUCCGCUUCGCUCUGGUUCCAAUUAAGCCAUCAGUUGGCGUGGCUUAACGAUCGCUCUCGACCACCACGUGCCCCGCAUAUACAAUUGUCCUUCCAGGCGGGCCUGCCGCCGUUAGGCAAUGCCCCAUAAAUAUUCAAAGUCUGUCCAGAUCUCUGUGCGAUCUCUCUGUGCGCCGGCGCAUAUCCCACAUAUGCACGAGUAUGUGGUAUCUGGGUGUGAGGUGCCUAUCUUGCAGCCAUAAACAAUGUUUUCAGGCGGAGAAAUACACACACAAAAAAUGGAAAAUAAAUCAAAUGAAUGCCACUUUGGCAGAUGCCAUGGGGCUUGGCUUCCAGAGUGCUAUGGGAUUUACGAGUAGCAGGCAAUGGCUUUGGCUUUUGGCUACGGCUCGGCUUUGACUUUAGAUUGUGUAAUCCGAAGCCUUUUAGGCCAUAAACAAUAUCAGCACUCAAGAGACCAAAGAGGCAUGCCUUUGGAGUACAUGGAGUGCUCAAGAGAGAGACUCUUAAAAACAGAACCAUAUAGAGAACGAUAGAAUGGAGAUUCAGUGGUAACUCGAUUCAAUUUAGACUGCUGAUUUUUAUCCACCGAGAUUCGGGGCAAUACGAAUAUUAUUGAAGGAAUAAUUUGUAGUGAUCGAAUGCAGGGAUUUUAUGAAUACUGUGGAUACAUGUAGGCCUCUAGUGUAUACUCUUCUCUUUUCUUUAGCUGCAGCGAGUUCGAUUCCAAUAAACUAAGAAUCGUAACAAAUGUGCAACGAUUUGUUUGGGUCUCAGGUAUGGCGAGGAAUGGCGAAAAACAAUCAACAAACAUUUGAUAAAUGUGCCAUAAAAUGUGUGCCAAAGAUACACUGUGUAUCUGUGCCCCAAAAAAGAGGAUACAGGAGCAGAUCCCUCCCUGAGGACCCCGGCGUGUGCGUGCAUUAAUUUAUCAAAUUAAUAUUUUUGGGUACCUCUGGCAUCCUCCUCCUCCUUCUCCGGCGACAGCAUUUUAUGGAUUACCUUAUUAGACAUCGCUUAUACAGACGGAAAUACAAAGAGGGUGCGCUGCUGCUGCUGCUGCCGCUGGUU